GCAGCACGGGUACUUGUACCUGGUGGCGAGCGGCGGACGGGUUAAUUAAUACCUAGGAAUCUGCCUGGUAGUGGGGGAUAACGUUCGGAAACGGACGCUAAUACCGCAUACGUCCUACGGGAGAAAGCAGGGGACCUUCGGGCCUUGCGCUAUCAGAUGAGCCUAGGUCGGAUUAGCUUGUUGGUGAGGUAAUGGCUCACCAAGGCUACGAUCCGUAACUGGUCUGAGAGGAUGAUCAGUCACACUGGAACUGAGACACGGUCCAGACUCCUACGGGAGGCAGCAGUGGGGAAUAUUGGACAAUGGGCGAAAGCCUGAUCCAGCCAUGCCGCGUGUGUGAAGAAGGUCUUCGGAUUGUAAAGCACUUUAAGUUGGGAGGAAGGGCAGUUACCUAAUACGUAAUUGUUUUGACGUUACCGACAGAAUAAGCACCGGCUAACUCUGUGCCAGCAGCCGCGGUAAUACAGAGGGUGCAAGCGUUAAUCGGAAUUACUGGGCGUAAAGCGCGCGUAGGUGGUUCGUUAAGUUGGAUGUGAAAUCCCCGGGCUCAACCUGGGAACUGCAUUCAAAACUGACGGGCUAGAGUAUGGUAGAGGGUGGUGGAAUUUCCUGUGUAGCGGUGAAAUGCGUAGAUAUAGGAAGGAACACCAGUGGCGAAGGCGACCACCUGGACUGAUACUGACACUGAGGUGCGAAAGCGUGGGGGAGCAAACAGGAUUAGAUACCCUGGUAGUCCACGCCGUAAACGAUGUCAACUAGCCGUUGGGAGCCUUGAGCUCUUAGUGGCGCAGCUAACGCAUUAAGUUGACCGCCUGGGGAGUACGGCCGCAAGGUUUUAACUCUUAUGAAUUGACGGGGGCCCGCACAAGCGGUGGAGCAUGUGGUUUAAUUCGUUGCAACGCGAAGAACCUUACCAGGCCUUGACAUCCAAUGAACUUUCCAGAGAUCGAUUGGUGCCUUCGGGAACAUUGAGACAGGUGCUGCAUGGCUGUCGU
rnacentral:rRNA from 1 species